UAUAGGAAACAUUAAGUCUAUUUUAUAACUUGAGCUAGUAUAUAUAGACAAGAGAUACUUUGACUUCAUAGUAGAAACAAACUAUUCUUCAAAAACUCAACAUGAAUUCAAAGGUAGUAAUUGUUAGUGUUGCCGUUCUCGCCUGCGUGGUCUUGUGCCAGGCUGACGUACCAAGAAGAACUCGUGCCGCGGCUGAAGACACGUCUUCUACUCUCCCCAACGUUAAAGAAUUCACAGAGUUGGUCGAACAAAUUCAGAAGAAUCCCUCUGAAUUCUUUACUACUAUAUCUAAGGCUUUUAAGAAGAGAUUCGGUUCCCUCAGUGGAGGUUUAAGUAAUACUGGCACUAGCAAGUAACUGACUUGCAUUAAUUACCAUGUUUUACAAUUUAAUGAAAUAAAAUAAUGUAUCGUGCA